rnacentral:rRNA from 1 species
CUUGCUUCUCUUGAGAGCGGCGGACGGGUGAGUAAUGCCUAGGAAUCUGCCUGGUAGUGGGGGAUAACGUCCGGAAACGGACGCUAAUACCGCAUACGUCCUACGGGAGAAAGCAGGGGACCUUCGGGCCUUGCGCUAUCAGAUGAGCCUAGGUCGGAUUAGCUAGUUGGUGGGGUAAUGGCUCACCAAGGCGACGAUCCGUAACUGGUCUGAGAGGAUGAUCAGUCACACUGGAACUGAGACACGGUCCAGACUCCUACGGGAGGCAGCAGUGGGGAAUAUUGGACAAUGGGCGAAAGCCUGAUCCAGCCAUGCCGCGUGUGUGAAGAAGGUCUUCGGAUUGUAAAGCACUUUAAGUUGGGAGGAAGGGCAGUAAAUUAAUACUUUGCUGUUUUGACGUUACCGACAGAAUAAGCACCGGCUAACUCUGUGCCAGCAGCCGCGGUAAUACAGAGGGUGCAAGCGUUAAUCGGAAUUACUGGGCGUAAAGCGCGCGUAGGUGGUUCGUUAAGUUGGAUGUGAAAUCCCCGGGCUCAACCUGGGAACUGCAUUCAAAACUGACGAGCUAGAGUAUGGUAGAGGGUGGUGGAAUUUCCUGUGUAGCGGUGAAAUGCGUAGAUAUAGGAAGGAACACCAGUGGCGAAGGCGACCACCUGGACUGAUACUGACACUGAGGUGCGAAAGCGUGGGGGAGCAAACAGGAUUAGAUACCCUGGUAGUCCACGCCGUAAAC